UAAACAUCCACAAUGCCCUGACAACAUUGGCACCAAAUAUCAUCACGGCGGCUCUGCUGGGGAGCCACAAGGGACAAUUCACCACCUUGAUGACUGAGGCCAAAGCAGACGAUCAUCUGAAGAGUGCUGCGGUCCUCAUCGUACCAGAGCAGAGGUUUUGCUGCUUGGAUGAGGAGCCAUCCAGCCCAUCUCCAGUAAUGGUGUCACACAACGCUGUGAGUCCCCUGCUGUGUACUACCCAACGCAUCCACCGCGACUGGGGAGAUGGACGUCCUUCAUGCCCUCUAAAGCCUUAUUGAAAUCUAAUUUAUUUUUGGUGUGGAAUAUCCCAAAA